AGUGAACGCUGGCGGUAGGCCUAACACAUGCAAGUCGAACGGCAGCACAGUAAGAGCUUGCUCUUACGGGUGGCGAGUGGCGGACGGGUGAGGAAUACAUCGGAAUCUACUUUUUCGUGGGGGAUAACGUAGGGAAACUUACGCUAAUACCGCAUACGACCUACGGGUGAAAGCAGGGGAUCUUCGGACCUUGCGCGAUUGAAUGAGCCGAUGUCGGAUUAGCUAGUUGGGGGGGUAAAGGCCCACCAAGGCGACGAUCCGUAGCUGGUCUGAGAGGAUGAUCAGCUACACUGGAACUGAGACACGGUCCAGACUCCUACGGGAGGCAGCAGUGGGGAAUAUUGGACAAUGGGCGCAAGCCUGAUCCAGCCAUACCGCGUGGGUGAAGAAGGCCUUCGGGUUGUAAAGCCCUUUUGUUGGGAAAGAAAAGCAGCAGGUUAAUACCCCGCUGUUCUGACGGUACCCAAAGAAUAAGCACCGGCUAACUUCGUG
rnacentral:rRNA from 1 species